rnacentral:rRNA from 1 species
UAGGGAAUCUUCCACAAUGGACGAAAGUCUGAUGGAGCAACGCCGCGUGAGUGAAGAAGGUUUUCGGGUCGUAAAGCUCUGUUGUUGGUGAAGAAGGAUAGAGGCAGUAACUGGUCUUUAUUUGACGGUAAUCAACCAGAAAGUCACGGCUAACUACGUGCCAG